rnacentral:rRNA from 1 species
GACGAACGCUGGCGGCGUGCUUAACACAUGCAAGUCGAGCGGUAAGGCCCUUUCGGGGGUACACGAGCGGCGAACGGGUGAGUAACACGUGGGUGACCUGCCCUCAGCUCUAGGAUAAGCCUGGGAAACCGGGUCUAAUACUGGAUAUGACUCCAUGACGCAUGUUGUGGGGUGGAAAGCCUUGUGCGGCUGAGGAUGGGCCCGCGGCCUAUCAGCUUGUUGGUGGGGUGANGGCCUACCAAGGCGACGACGGGUAGCCGGCCUGAGAGGGCGACCGGCCACACUGGGACUGAGACACGGCCCAGACUCCUACGGGAGGCAGCAGUGGGGAAUCUUGCGCAAGUGGGCGAAAGCCUGACGCAGCGACGCCGCGUGAGGGAUGACGGCCUGG